GCCCAGAUGGGAUUAGCUAGUAGGUGGGGUAACGGCUCACCUAGGCGACGAUCCCUAGCUGGUCUGAGAGGAUGACCAGCCACACUGGAACUGAGACACGGUCCAGACUCCUACGGGAGGCAGCAGUGGGGAAUAUUGCACAAUGGGCGCAAGCCUGAUGCAGCCAUGCCGCGUGUAUGAAGAAGGCCUUCGGGUUGUAAAGUACUUUCAGCGGGGAGGAAGGGAGUAAAGUUAAUACCUUUGCUCAUUGACGUUACCCGCAGAAGAAGCACCGGCUAACUCCGUGCCAGCAGCCGCGGUAAUACGGAGGGUGCAAGCGUUAAUCGGAAUUACUGGGCGUAAAGCGCACGCAGGCGGUUUGUUAAGUCAGAUG
rnacentral:rRNA from 1 species